rnacentral:RNase_P_RNA from 3 species
CGAGUCGGUCGGACGGUCGCGUCGGCGGUGCUCAGGCGCCGUCGCCGAGGAACGUCCGGGCUCCGAAGGGCAAGGUGGUGGCUAACGGCCACCCGGGGUGACCCGCGGGACAGUGCCACAGAAAACAGACCGCCGCCGGGAGACCGGCGGUGAGGGUGAAACGGUGGUGUAAGAGACCACCAGCGUGUCCGGUGACGGGCACGGCUCGGUAAACCCCACCUGGAGCAAGGUCGGACAGGGGACGUUCGAGGGCUGCCCGCCCGAUGUCCCCGGGUAGACCGCUGGAGGCCUGUGGCGACGCAGGUCCUAGAUGGAUGACCGUCGCCCGUGCGGGGGUGACCCGGCACGGGAACAGAACCCGGCGUACAGACCGGCUCGUCCG